GACAGAGGGUGCAAACGUUGUUCGGAAUUACUGGGCGUAAAGCGCGUGUAGGCGGCUUAGCAAGUCGGGUGUGAAAGCCCUGGGCUCAACCUAGGAAGUGCACUCGAAACUGCUUCGCUUGAGUGUCGGAGAGGAAAGCGGAAUUCUCGGUGUAGAGGUGAAAUUCGUAGAUAUCGAGAGGAACACCGGUGGCGAAGGCGGCUUUCUGGACGAUAACUGACGCUGAGACACGAAGGCCAGGGGAGCAAACGGG
rnacentral:rRNA from 1 species